CCUACGGGAGGCAGCAGUGAGGAAUAUUGGUCAAUGGCCGGAAGGCUGAACCAGCCAUGCCGCGUGAAGGUCAGUGCCCUAUGGGCGUUAAACUUCUUUUGUGCGGGAGCAAUAAUGGUCACGUGUGGCCGGACGAGAGUACCGUACGAAUAAGCAUCGGCGAACUCCGUGCCAGCCGCCGCGGUAAUACGGGGGAUGCCAGCGUUAUCCGGAUUUAUUGGGUUUAAAGGGUGCGUAGGCUGUGAGGUAAGUCAGCGGGGAAAUGCCCCCGCUCAACGGCGUGAAGUGCCAUUGAUACUGCCGUGCUUGAAUGGGGAUGCCGUGGGAGGAAUGUGUGGUGUAGCGGUGAAAUGCAUAGAUAUCACACAGAACACCGAUUGCGAAGGCA
rnacentral:rRNA from 1 species